CUCGUAGGCGGUUCGUCGCGUCCGGUGUGAAAGUCCAUCGCUUAACGGUGGAUCCGCGCCGGGUACGGGCGGGCUUGAGUGCGGUAGGGGGAGACUGGAAUUCCCGGUGUAACGGUGGAAUGUGUAGAUAUCGGGAAGAACACCAAUGGCGAAGGCAGGUCUCUGGGCCGUUACUGACGCUGAGGAGCGAAAGCGUGGGGAGCGAACA
rnacentral:rRNA from 1 species